AUAAAAGAUGGUAGAAACCUCUUUGUUAGUGCAUACGUCCAUGGCAGCUUACGGGUUUCCAGAUCCUGUGGUGAUUUCAAGCCUAACAAAUGGGGGUUACCUCCGAGGUAGCUAACGGUGAGUACAAAGAUAUUGACUUCUUUGUCUUUCUUUGUCUACUCACAUGGGUGUCACAGUCUCCUGUCUUGAACCUGUCUUAGGCUGAGAGAGAGAUCUGUCGGUUGGACAGAUUCUCUGAUUAAGAGGUUGAGAACAGGAUCAGCCGUUUGCCUCUGAGGUUGAUAACAGGAUAAGCUGUCUGACUCUGUACCAGAUUCAAUAUAGACUUAGGAGUUCUUGAGAUCUGGUUGUUGAGAAGUUGGAACGGGAUAGGCUGCCCAUCUUUAUGAGUAGUUAGUGUUGUCGAGAAGUGGGAUCGGGAUCGGCCACCGGCUUUUAGUGAAUCUAUAUAUUGAUUUAUUACCAGUUAGUUAGUUAGUCAGUUAGUUAGUUAGUUAGGGAUUUAUAAGUUUGGUACACUUUGUCCCCUGGAAUCAGUGAAGUUUCUCCUACAUUAUUGAAUAUAUUUAUUUCUGCUUUCCACUGUCUCUUAUUAUUUUUAGAGCUUAAGAUUUAUGACUUGCAGUUGCACAUUCUACUGAAUGGGGUCUGAUGCAAUUGUUAUAGGAAAAUAUGAUUUGUGUGCUUGUUUUUGUGAAUUUAAUGAGCCCAAUUUUUUUCUUUUUUACAUUGGGACUAGGAAUAUAUGUCUGCAAUGAAAUAAUUUAUAACCUGAACAAGUGAUUACAUUUUAAAUGAGCCUGGUACAAUUUUAUGAGACCAUGACUUCGCCUUAGAUUAGAAAAACACAUUUAGGGAUAGUUUCACAAAUCCCGCAAACAGAGUUACACACCAAACAGCACACAAGAUAGUUAACAAUGCCAUUUCCCAUGAAAUUGACGAAGACCCAUACUGCAGCUAAUCCUCACUAAAGAAAUCCUGUAUAAUACAACUGUUGAUGUGUCACCACCCUCCCUUCCUGGGGCAGUGGGAGGAAGACAGAUCCCUGAUGAAACAGGGUAUAAUACAUGAGUGCCACCAGCGUUCCAUCAAGAAAAGAAAAGCAUGCCGUCCAUACUUCAUAAUCAGGGCCAUCAUCCCGGUGAUUUUGUUCAAAAGUGGACUGGUGGACACUCCCCUAGGAUGAUGAGGAGUCAAACUGUCCAACCUGCUACAGUUGACGACUAGCACAAUCCUCAACAUCUUCGCCCUGUUCUGUCUAAGAAUGGUAGUAAUACAGGAGGUACUGCUGCUACUGUUGCUCCCCUUUUUUCAUAUGCCUGUCAUUGUGGUGGUUUUACUCUGUAUUAUGUUUGUGUUGAAAGACAGUUUGCUGCUUGGUGGAAUAACUGCUAUACAGUGUGCAAGAGAAUACUGAAAACAAACAAAAGUUCAAAAAGCAUAUCCUUCAGUGGGUUCCCUGUACAGUUCUUAAGCUGGGUUUAAAUUAUCUUGUGCCAUUCCAGAGAUAACCUAAACCUUUUGUACAUCAGAGGGAUCCUACCCAAAAUGUCAGUUCAGAUCUGAAAUGCCAACUUAAGUUGCAAUUCCAAACUAGGAUAUUAGAUUUCUUCCAAUACAAGAUAGUCGAUCAAAACAACAUAAUCUUUUGUAAGACUGUCGUGCAACAUUAAUAUUUUUUGUUUUGUUUUGUAAGUUUAGAAAUAGAUAGUCAGUUUCCAAAAUAAACAUAUUACAAAAAUGACCACUUUAUACAAAAUAAUUUUCCCAUUAAAUAAUUGUGUAACAUUUUCCCAUAGAUAAAUAGUGUUUUUUAAUAGAUUGGUACAUCUGCCAACAAUCUUCCAACAAAGCAAAUUCUUUUUUUUUUAUAUUUCCAGUUAAAUAACAAGUACUAAACUUGUAUCAUUUAACUUUUUAUGCUUCCUACAGAGCAAAUAAAUACAAUUGAUAAACAAUAGUUGUAUUAUUGAUAAACAAUAGUUGAAUUAUUAGUUCAGAAGGACAGGCUGUAAGAAGUAAAAAUUGGAUAAAAGAUGUUACGACAGUACAAUAACUUGAAAUUAGUUUGUUUUUUUCCUUCUACAAAAAUUAGUAAAUUUUUCAGGGUUUUGCAUUGUAUUUUGGGUCUUGGAAUAUUUUUGAAGCAGCUUGUAGAUUGUCUAUGUAACCUGUGUGGUGAGUUGGAUAAGCAAAGGUAAGUGCAAGUGGUGAACAAUGUGUGCCCUGGCAUUGCCUAAUGCAUGUUCAAAUGUCAGUUUCACUACCAUUAGGCAUGAUAUCGGCACCAAAAGCCUUUAGCAUAAUAAAUCAGUUUUGGUGUAUAGAUCAUGCCACUGCAGUCUUAGUUAAAUAACUUGUGAUUCGGUUUAUGCAGUCCAAGCCACACCUACCCUGGCUGUGACUCAUACAGUAUGCAUGAAAAAAAAAUGAUUUAAUUUUCAAUCAUAUGUUAUCUACUGCUCUAUAAAUUGAAUUGUAAUCACAGGUGGCUCCUGCAGGGUAUAGAAGGCUAUUAACAGAGCAGGAGAUACAACAUUCUAAAUUAAACAAAUGUGCAAUAAAGGAAGUUUAAACAUUACAUUUCUCUUUACAGGAAGUGUUUAGAAUGGCUGCACAAAUCACACGUCGAGAGACCGUGUGACUAGGCCUGUAUAAACAAAGAGAUGUAAUUCCUAAAUGGCAAAGGAUUUCAGGGGCAUGAACUAUACAACAAAACUGCUUCAUUAAGCUACAGUUCUUCUGGAGCUAGUAUCUCUUUAAUAUUAUAUUUUUUAACUAAAGUUUAGUUGUCAAUUUAAAAAACCUUAGCAUUUUAUUUUAACAUUAAUAAAAUGAGCUGCACCCACGUAGAGCUAAGUACACAAAAUUGAAUGAUACAAUACAAAAAUUAGCUGAAAAAUAAUGUAGCAACUGUGCUGAAUAAUACUAAGUGUAAAACUAAAACGUGUACAUACAUAGAAGAUACACUGAUCAGCCACAACAUGGCCGGGUGUGUGUGCAUCGUUUACCGGGAAAAAAGAUGGCAGCAGGAUGCACUAUGGGAGGAAGGCAGGCUGACAGAGGCAGUGUUAUGAUCAGGGCAUUGUUCUGCUGAGAAGCUUGGAUCCUGAUAUUUAUGUGGAUAUUACUUUGACACGUACCACCUACCUAGAGAUUGUUGAAGAUCACAUUCAUCCCUUCAUGACAAUGUUGUUUGCAGUGAUGGCAGUGGUCUCUUUCAGCAGAUACACCCUGCCACACUGGAAAAAUUUGAAUCGUUUGAGAAAGGUGACAAAGAAUUCAAAGUGUUACAUUCAUCUCCAAAUUCCCCAGAUCUCAAGUGAGCAUCUGUGGUAUGUGCUUGAACAACAAAUCUGAUCCAUGGAGGCCCCAUCUAGUAACUUGCAGGCCUAAAAGGAUCUGUUGCUAAUGUCUUGGUGCCAGGUACCAGGGCACAUUCAGAAGUCUUGUGGAGUCCAUGCCAUGAUGCAUCAGUACUGUUUUAGCAGCACAAGGACCUACAUGAUAUUAGGCAGGUGGUUUUAAUGUUGUGGCCGAUAAGUUUAAUCAGAGUGGAAAUCAAAUUAGGCAGUUUCUUCCUCUCAUCUACUAAUGCAACAUUGCUUUUUUGUGUGUUCAGUAUGAAGUCAUUACUGCAGGCUGCUUUCUAGGAAGCUGCUGUGUUAAUUGUUAAAAUUAAUUACACAGAAUAUCAUUUUUGUUUGUUUUGUGCAUUGCCCUAAGGUAACGCAGCAAUGCUUCUUUUUUUGUGACUCCAAAAAUACAUAUUACCAGUCUGGAAGUUUUAGCAACAUUUAUUAUGUUUGCAUAUUUCUUGAAAAUCAUUACCCGAAUUAUUAUUUUCAAAAUUAGAGUGAUUAUUUUUGAAAAUCAUUAAAACAUGAAAGCCAUUUUUUUGUUGAAAAAAAAAAUCAUAUAUGCUUUCAUUUGGCAUCAUGUUUAAUGAUCCAUUGGCAUUUUCAUUAACUCAGUAGAGUUGAUUCCCAUCUGGUCUUGUAAAUUUCUUCAUAAAACAUGAAUGAAGAAUGUAUUUAAUUGAUAACUCCAGAGAACUAAUAGAUCUUGGAGACUUUUAAUUUUAAAUCAGAGUUCAACGUUUUUGAAACUUUUUCAAUUUCUACCAUUUUUAACCAGUUUAGUCAGUUAAGUAGUUUUUAGAGUAUCUUUAAAUAUAUAUUUAUUAAUUUAUUAAAGAUAUUACCAGGACUUAAUUAACUGUUGAUUUAUUUGCAAAUGCUGUUAGGCUGCACACAAUUCUCACUUCCCCAACGAUUCAACCCAAAUACCCUUUUAAUAUGACUGGUCAAUUAAAAUAUGUCAACAAAUAUUGUGCCCUACUGCCCCCACAAAUGACAACAAUUGAUUAUAAAGUGCUCAUCUUAAUUUAAAUUCUGUAUCCUAUCUUCAUUAAAGGACCACUAAAGGCACACAGCCCAUUUUAUCUCAAUGAAGUGGUCCGGGUGCAGUGGUCUUUUAACAUAUAUUUUGUUUUCACAGCAGCCUUAUAUUCCAUAUCCCUUUCUCUAACCUUUUCACUUUAUCAGGGACAGAUUGACAACUUACCGGGCUUCCAUGCAAAAUGAGCAUGUAUUUUUGGCUACUACUGCUCUUCUCCCCAUUCUUUUUGAAGAUCUCACACAGAUAUUGUGAGUGCACUGUAGUGGGUGCAAAAUGGCAUAGUGUCAGUAGUGGGUGCAGGGGAGAUAAGAGUUUUAGUGGGUCAUGAGAUAUAGAUGGAGACCCCAUCUGGCAACUUGCAGGCCUUAAAGGAUCUGCUGCUGAUGUCUUGGUGCCAGGUACCAGGACACAUACAGAAGUCUUGUGAAGUCCAUGGCUUGAUGCAUCUCCCUGCUAGGUCUUGCUUUCCGUGUGCAGAGAGGAGUGUUAAGUAUGGAAUAAGAUGAGGGGUAGGGAGGGACAUCACAUACCCUUCUCUUUCUACAUGCAUGCACCACCACCACUUGUGUUAAGUGCAGUUAGGAGGAGCAGCCUGCAGGAGGAAACGUUAUGGAUAUGAUUACUACAGAGGCAUGCUGCUCAGGGGUAGAUGGAGGGAAAGGAUGAAGAGACACAAGGGAGAGGUAAGUUGGAUCAGAAAUAAAAGUAGGAGGUUGAGGAGAUUAAUAAAUAGUAAGGUGAGGCAGAGGCACAGCUGGGGCAUGAGGAGAGAAGCAAGUGGGGUGAUGGUGAGAAACUAAGGGGUGUCAAAGACAGAUGUGUGGGGUAUGCUGAUAGCAAACACUGAUAGCAAGUACCAAAGCAGCUAUCAAUUUAAAUAGCCCAGUUCACUGUUUAGUGAACCAGGCUAUGUUCAGCUUUAGGCAGAGCCAUUAUAUGAAGGUAGAGGGCACCAUGUACCAAAUUAAUCCACAAUCCAGAACCCUUCCCACUAAUCGACACAAGACAUAUAUAUGUUGCAAAUAGGCCACAUAAUGUAUUAACCAUUCAUCAAUAAUUUAACUUUUAACUGUAUAAAAUAUAAAUAACAGUACAUACUCUUCCUUGACAAUAACUAACAAUCCAUAAAUUAUUAACUUAACAUUUCCCUGGGUGCUACCCCUCUCAUCGUACCAACCCUUAACCACACUUCCAAGCUUAUCAUUCACUAAGUGCUGACCACUAGCCAGCCUUUAGCUCAGUGGAUACGUCCAUACCAUUUUGAGAUUCGGCGAGGGGUGAACCCCACUACACCAUCAUACUCAUUUAGUUCUGAUCCACCUCGAUUGGCAAGGACACACCCCGUUAUUCGCCCUGCUGUUUUAAAUCUCAAUCCGCGGGUGCGCCACACCACCGAAGCCAUGUUGUGGUCGAUCGUCUCAUGCAGGGCUAAAUUGAAUAAAUCAAGACUAACCUCUGUAAGAUGAACACCAUCACUGCUAAAAUAAAUGGCCGCAUCCCUUCUAAAAAUGCUGUGGCGGACUGAAAAUCCCCCAAUACUGGCUGACAUACCCAGGAGUCGGGAUAACAGAAAGGCCUAUAUUCAUCUUGUUCCAGCCCAUGGAUGGUUGCACAGCCAUCCUUAGGCGGAAUUGCUCGUCAUAGCGCCACCAUCUUAAACCCCAUUGACGCAGCAAGCGGUCCAAAAGAGGUCCUAGUAACAGAAGAAGCUGAGCAUUUAUUGGGGUACUUUUCCCUCAAUAGUGCUGCCAGGAUCGAAAAAGCUUGGAUUCAAUUUCCAAAAAGUUGCUGGAUUCUUUCAGAACCAAAUUUUUAUUUUUCCUUUUGGGACUCCUUACCCUCCUUUUCAGGGGGCAUUAAGUCCUCCAUGGGAAAGUGGGAAAAUAUUUCUGAAAAUUCCACAUUCCAAAUCUUGUCUUUCAUUUCCUGCUUUAAAUGUGGGUCCAAAGGGCCCGACCAGCACAUACAGGCAGCCUAAUGAGCCGCCUGUGCAACAUUCUGUACUAUACCCGUACAAACAUCUAAGACUGGGAUGGAGAAAGUAGUAACUGCUGGUGCUGGAGGGGGCAAGAAUGAGUCAGCAGCACCCAGAGAGCUUGCACCCACCCCACCCUCUAUAGGAGGAACUACCAUCCCAGAAGCAGUCCCAGGCAACAAGGAUUGCCACUUGGUCCUACUAUGGUUAUCCACUCAAGGUCCUGUAGAUGUUGAGACUAUCCCUAAACUAAAUUCCAAUUGUGGUAAAAAAAUAACUUAUGGUCCCUAAUAGACUGCCCAAGUGCCCAUGUGCUUUCACAUUAGCCACACACCCCCACCCCCCACACACACACACAUUGAUGAGAGGAACUCCCCCUAACCUCCACAAUGCUUUGUCACAAACUGUAUAAUGGAAUAUAUUCUUCCAUUAUGUGGAUGAUAAAAAAACUAAUCCUUUGAUCAUGGAGUUACAGCAUAUACAAUUUAAACAAGGAAAAUUACCAUUCUUAUGUGACCAUUGUGUUGGUGACCUAGGUAACUCAGCCCUCACAGCUUUUUUUAUUUUUUGUUACAGAUUGUCAAUUUGGUGUGCUGGUGUUGGGGGUAGUUUGUCAAAUACACUUCAAGUUUUCACUCCCAGUGGUGCAUCUUGCAUGAUUAUUUUUUAAGAUAAGUUACCAAUAAAAUUUUCUGUUCAAAUUAAAGAAAAAUAAUCAUAAUUGUAAAAUGAGAUUACAAUAGUAUAUUUAUAGUAAUUAGAGAUUUGUUGCACUUUUAAUGUGAUUUUUAGAAAUAAUCUUUUUACUUGGAAAAAAUUAUAUUUGUUUGCACUUUAAUAAGAGGUGGAUAUCGUCCUGUCUCAUUAAAUUAAUUCAUUGUUUAUGCACUUUAAUAUUUAUUUUCUUUGCACAUGGCUUAUAUAUAUAUAUGCACUUUAAUUAUAUACCUUAAUAUUUGUCUUUUUACACAUGUAUAAUAUAUGCACUUUAAUAUGUUUGUGAUGCACUUUAAUUCAAUUGAUGCACUUCAAAUUACAUUUAUAAUAUAUGCACUUUAUCUAAUCUUAUAUGCACUUUAAUUAGAUGAGUGCACUAUAAUUGAUUUAUACACAUAAUACACUUAUAAAAUAAUAUUUAUAAAAUAUGCGUUUUAAAGACCUUCUUUAUUUUUUGAUUUAUUAGUUUUGAUAGUCUCAUGGAUUAAAGGACAUAUUAUUUGUGAUUUAUUGAAAUGAUUUGAUUAUCUUGAAUAUUUAUUCAUAUUUCAAAAUGCUUAUAUUUGAUCUGGGAAUUUAUUACUAUUGUAUAAAACAAUGACAGUUAACAGAGACUCUCAGCUUGUGAGGGUUGUUAUUUAUUUUGAGAUUAUUUUAUUUUGGUCUAUAAUCUUAUGUAUUUUUCUCAUAUGCAGACAUGAUAGCUCUUGGGAUUGGUUAAUGCUCAAUUACUAGUUUUGCGUGAAGCUAGUAUACAUGUGCGCGUUAUUUGUUGUUUUCUUUAUUUGCGCAUGCGCCACAUUAUGCGAUUUUGCGUAUGCGGGAAGAAGUAGUUUGUACAUGCGCGUUGAUUCGGCUUUGGUACGCAUUCGCAUGUCUGUUGUUUGUGCAUGCGCAAUGUUAUACGUAUGCAUGAAAUAGUAGUUUGUUUAUCCACCCUGUUCCAAAUUAUUAUGCAAAUUCUAUUUAAGUGUCACAAAGAUUAAAUAUUUAGUUUUUCAGUUUAACUCAUGCAUGGCAUUGUGUCUCAGGGCUCUUUUGAUCACUGAAAACAAUCUCGGACACCUGUGAUAAUUAGAUUGCCAGGUGAGCCCAAUUUAAGGAAAAACUACUAAAGGAGGGUGUUCUACAUUAUUAAGCAGAGCACUAUUUUCAUUCAAUAUGGGGAAGAAAAAGGAUCUCUCUGCUGCUGAAAAGAGUGAAAUAGUUCAAUGCCUUGGACAAGGUAUGAAAACAUUAGAUAUUUCACGAAAACUUAAGCGUGAUCAUCGCACUAUUAAGAGAUUUGUGGCUAAUUCAGAGCACAGACGGGCUCGUGCAGAUAAAGGCACAUUGAGGAAGAUUUGUGCCAGAUCCAUGCAUCGGAUCAAGAGAGCAGCUGCUAAAAUACCAUUACAUAGCAGAAAACAGAUAUUUGAAGCUGUUGGUGCCUCUGGAGUCCCACAGACAUCAAGGUGUAGAGUCCUCCAGAAUCUUGAAACUGUGCAUAAACCUUCUAUUCGCCACUGUGACGAAAUGCCUUUUGUCACUGGAUUUUUAGGUGACAAGCUGCCCUUUGCUCCUGGCUGUUGGAGGAGCCUGAGUGCCAGCCUCCUGCCUCAUGACUAUGGCCCUGGGUUGUAUGGCCCUUUACAAACAUUAUUUGGGCUUAUGGACUUUUAUUGUACGGUGCUGGCCAUUUAAAAAUAGUGUAUGGACAUACUGAAACUUUUGAGACACUUUUUCUGCCCCUUUGAAUUCAUGGGAAGGGUGCCUCUUCCCCUGCCCCAGCUCCAUUGUUCUCCAGCAGGGAGUUGUCCCAGGGACACUGCCAGACCAGUGGGAACUGGUUUGGGCAGGAAAAGCCAUGCUUCCUUUGGUCACAAAGGACUUUGACCUAACUUUUAAAGCCCUGAACCUAUGGGAAUUUGAGCUCCGAUUGCGGAGAUUGGGGCUGUGGGCAACCGGUCUCUCUCCCCAUCGGCAGCCAGCAGCCCAGGGAGAGGAGAUUGUCGGUCCCUCGUCCCUGCAGCAACCAUCAUCACUGGGAGUUGGGGAUUGCUAUAAUCACUAUACUCCCCAGGGUAUAAUCACUAAGCUCUGCUAAGAGCUUAUUCCUGUUCCUGCUCUCUGGAAUUCGGAGAGGUCAACCUACUGGAAGCUGGACCCUGGUCUUGGGUCCAGAGUGGGUGGAGACGGCGAGACCCCAACCAAGCUGCGGCGGUUCGUGGGGUCUGCAGUUGUUAUGGUGUCAGGCAGAGUGCUUGGAGUCCUCAGAAAGCACUAGGAGCAUCCGUCAGUGGAAGGUACUCGGUCUGGGUGCCAGUGGUUCCGUUACAGCCACUUCUAACCAAUGCUCACAAGCAGAAACGGCUGCAUUGGGCAGAAACAUACAUGAACACUAAUUUUCAACAGUCCUGUUCACUGAUGAGUGCCGUGCAACCCUGGAUGGUGUAGAUGGAUGGUUGGUGGAUGGCCACCCUGAUCCAACAAGGCUGCGACGUCAGCAAGGCGGUGGUGGAGUCAUAUUUUGGGCCGGAAUCAUGGGAAGAGAGCUGGUCAGCCCCUUUAGGGUCCCCGAAGGUGUAAAGAUGACCUCUGCAAAGUAUGUGGAGUUUCUGACUGACCACUUUCUUCCCUGGUACAGAAGGAAGAACUAUGCUUUCCAUAAUAAAAUCAUCUUCAUGCAUGACAAUGCACCAUCUCAUGCUGCAAAGAAUACCUCUGCAUCAAUGGCUGCUAUGGGGAUAAAAGGAGAGAAAGUCAUGGUGUGGCCUCCAUCCUCCCCUGACCUCAAUCCUAUUUAGAACCUUUGGGGCAUCCUCAAGCAAAAGAUCUAUGAGGGUGGGAGGCAGUUUACAUCCAAACAGCAGCUCUGGGAGGCUAUUCUGACAUCUUGCAAUCAAAUUCAAGCAUAAACUGUCCAAAAACUCACAUGUUCAAUGGAUGCAAGACUUGUGAAGCUGCUAUCAAAUAAGGGGUCCUAUGUUAUAAUGUAACGUGACCUGUUAAAAUGUUUAAAAAGUUAAAAUGUUGUUAUAAGUUUGAUUGAAAUAGCUUUUAAUUUCAGUAAAUAUGCUGCAAACACAACAAAUGACAAUUUUCAGUUCUUUACAACGUAUUAAAUGUUUUGAAACUUACUGUGCGUAAUAAUUUGGAACAGUGCAUUGUACGUUUUUUAUGUUUAAGGUUUGUUCAAUAAAAUUUGAAUUGUACUCUUAAUAGUUGAUAACAUGAGAAUUAUGCUGACUCUUAUUUACAUCAAUUAUAUUUUUCUCAUUUACCUAAAUAAUUUCCAUAAUAAUUUGGAACAGGGUGUAUAUUUAAACAAAUGGAGGUCUAGUUACUCCAAUGGCCACUGGAGGGGAUGCCCGCCUGCCAACGUCAAGGCAGACCCCCUUACACGGGUCCUACACUGACCCUUCAUCUUGCUUUCUUGAACCUCUGACAAAGAUAUCUCUAAUGAGACAGAGAGGGGUAUUUGUUAUAUACACCCCUAUUUACUUAUUAACCCUUAAAUGAUCUCCAUUUGUUUAAAUAUACAUAGGGAUUAAGGAGAGAGCGCAGGUAACUUUUUCUUUGUUUGUUUUUUUUCAAAUAGUUUUUAUUGAAAAAAUUAUUAUUCUUUUUGUAAGAUUACAACAAAUUAUAAAAACAUUGUAAUAAGGGUUGGGAAGGGGAGGGAAACUUGGAAGAGAGAAGGGGAGAUCCAUCCAAUGUGACGAUUAAUAUAGUAAUAUAUAAGGCAUACAAUUUGAGUGAUACAUUGCAACAAUAGGACAAAUUGUUACAGAUUAUAGGCUUUUUUAAUUUCGUCUUCCCACAUAUCCCAAUCAUCCUAAUCGUGCAAAGAGGUACGAGUUACUUCUAUGUGAUAGUUUGUGAGCUUUAUUUUCUAGGAGUAGGUUUUUCUUUGGUUUUUACUAUAUAUUGGAGCUGAUGUGUACUAUGGUCAUUGCUGCCACCCAGGAGUGAUGGGAGUGAGCGCAGGAUUUAUCUUUUUGUAUUUGUAUUUACUUUUUGUAUCACACAGCUAGGUUGCAAUGCUGCCGCCCAUCCCAUGUGUUCCCUAUUAAGGGUUAAUAAGGAUAUAGGGGUGUAUAUAAAAAAUACCGCUUUCUGUCUCAUUAGAGAUAUCUUAGGGUCAGUGUAGGAUCUAACUAAAUGACCUCCAUCUGUCUAUAGUGUUGCCUGCAACUUCACAGCGUAUCGACAAACCUUCUCUAUAGACCUCAACAACAGUAUUUCAUUACGCGUGUUAAAUUCUGAUGUGUUACAUUACAGCCAUAAUAGAGGAUAAUAACAGUGACAAACUACAAAACUAUAGUCCUGUGUAAGAAUACUGAUUGCAUUGAAUUUUACACUGAACCUUCAAUAAAAUAUGUCAACCAACAUAGUCAAUAGCUUUGUGAUUUUUCUUUGGAGUGAGCGGAUUACAGGUAUAUUGUUCUAAAGGAUCAAUAGAUAUCAUAGCCCCCCCAAAAAUGUUUCAUGUCACUGCACUGCUAAAGCUUCCUUGAUGGAAACUAAUCUUUUCUGUUUCGAGUAAAAAUGUCAACAGAUGAAAUGUUGCAUGACACACAUGAAAAUAUACACCAGGGAAUCAACUGUUUCUCUUAUUCCAUUCAUUAUUGUGUUUCGAGUUUUCUUCGACCUGGAGAUAGAGCCUGUGCACAGGCCAUGAGCACUUUAAUUCAAGAAUAAAGCAUGACAAAUCCAUUCAUUAUAUGUUUCAGUUAAUCUAACUGCUAACAAGUUUUGAUGAUCAAUUAAAUAAAUGACUUAUAUAUUUUUUUCCAAUAAAAGUUUUAUUGAAAUUUUCUUCAUAAAGGAAAUAGAGAUACAUUUGUGUGAAACACCCUGGGUUUGGUUAGGCAAAACAGAGUAAUUUUCUAGUGUACUUUAGUUAUAUGCAUUUCCUUACAGUUUCUUAAAGGGACCCUAUAGUCAUCAGAACAACUUUUGCUCAAUUAAGCAGUUUUGGUGUACAAAUCAUGCCUCUGAAGUUUCACUGCUCAAUUCUCUACCAUUUAGGAGUUAAAUCACUUUGUCUAUUCAGCCCUAGUAGCACCUCUUCAUAUAAAGAGUCAUCUAAUGUUUAAGCUUCCUUUAUAGCAAAAUGAAUUUAGAAUUUCUUAUCUCCUGUUCUGUUAAUAGCUUGUUAGACCCUGCAGGAGCCUCCUGUAUGUAAUAUAGAUGAUGGCUCUGCAGUCUCACUGCCCAGUUCUCUUCCGUUUAUAAUUGAUAUCACUUCUGUUUUAGUUUAUGAAUCCCUAGCCACUCCUCCCCUGGCUGUGACUGACAGAGCCUGUGUCACGUAUUCAUCCGCUUAUAAAAAAAAUGUGGUUAAUGACAUUUACUGUCCACACAGGAAAAGUUGUGCCAAGCAACAACCAAAUCCACAGAAGGGUUAAUGCUGAGCAGCAAUUAUGCAAAUGGAAUCUGGUAACUGCCUUUGGGGUCAAAGGCCGGUUACAGUCUAUCAGACCUAGAGGAGGGGUAUUUAGGCCCAGUUCUCAUCCUGCUCAGUGCCCUGCCGUGGUUUCCCUUGUGGUUGUCCGAGAGCGCGUUAUUGAUUCUGAUUAAAUAAAUAUAAUAAUCAGAAUCUAGUUUAUUAUAUAUAAUCAGCAUUUAGUUUAUACUUUGUUAUUGUGAUAAUAUAUAAACAAAUAAAUGACAGAAUGAAAAUGGUUAAGCGCCUAAAACGUUUAGUCAAUGGACUCAUGCAGCAGACAGACCCAGGAUUUAUAUUCAUGGAAAUUAGAAGAAAUAGAAUAUAUACAUUUUUAAUGUUGGUGCGAAACAACGUCAAAUUCUGAAUGUCUGUUUGACAGCAUCAAGUAAUAAGUAUUAAAUAAGGCAAAUAGUGUGGUGAAGCUUUAAACACUGUCAUACAAUCUACAAAUCAUGUGUUUUAAAAUAAAAACUGAUGUAAGAAUGGUAGUGCAUUGUUAUUUCAUUCUUUAAAAGCCAUUCUUGUAAUUUAGCAUGAGAUCGUGUAAGUUAGACUGCAUGAUCUCAACGGGGGAAGAUAUACCAAUUGUACAACGUGGAAAGGGACCUUAGACUCCUUGAAAUAGUACAAGACCAUAAGAUCAAACAACUAGCCCAACUACUACCCAACACUGAACUAACGGGCAAUCAACACUUACACUAUAGGCAACCUAUACACUUUAUCCAAACCAGUCUACUCCUCCCCAGAGGGGACAAGGAUCUAACAAAAUUUGAAGCACUAUUGAAGCACUAUUCAUCCUUUAAUGAAAAAAACACUCUCCACCAUGUAUAAACUGAUACAGGAGCUGCAAAAUCCUACACCUCCUAAAUUCACGACCCAAUGGACAAAUGAACUCGGUAUUGACAUUUCCCAACAACAAUGGCGGUCCAUAUUUAUCACAACACACAAAGCAACCAUCUCAACAUUGGACCAGGAAAGCAAUUAUAAAAGACUCACUCCUGUGAAAAUUCACAAAAUACACAAUACUCCUGACAAUGCCUGCUGGAGAUGCAGUCAACCUAACGCACACAAUUCGCAUAUCUGGGGGCAAUGCCCAAUGAUAGCAAAAUUCUGGAGAAGAAUACACACCCUCAUAAAAUCCAUUACCAAGGUACACAUCCCAUUCACACCAGAACUAUUCCUAUUCCUCCUGACCCCACCGGACCUCAAAAAAAGAUCAGAUCUUUGAUCAUCCACCUAAUAAUGGCCACAGCGCAAUUAAUUCCCAAACAAUGGAAACAACCCCACCCCCCCUCAAUUAGGGAAUGGAUAAUGAGACUAGAAGCGGUCAAACAGAUGGAAGAAAUUACCCAUGCCACGGCCAGGAGAUUAGAAAAUUUCUCCCACACAUGGGCUCUAUGGAACAACUUUAUAUCAACACAACCUACCCAAGUCAAGGGUGACCUUUACCUUUGACAUGUAAGAUGCCAAUAAUCAGCUACCCCUCAAAGAUUGGCUCACAAGAAGCCUUUCCCCCCACCUCCUCCCCCCCACACCCCAUAGAAAUAUUUGACAUAACCUAAUACAAUGUAAUACAAAUUUUAAAAAGCAUGUUUUAUCACGACUCCAAAUGAUAUUUUGUGAAUUCCACAUAUUCUUGGAGUCUUGGGGGUCUCGUGAAUAGCAGUAUCAUAGAUAUUCCUAGAACUGCAUUCUUCUGGACAGAGAUUUCAGAUAUUCCAGAUAUUCCACUCUCCUAAUUUGGGGUUUACAGCCCUGAGUGUCCCUAGCACCAUUGGAGCUAGAUAGAUAGAUAGAUAGAGGUAUAUUAAUGUAAAUGCUCACAUUGGGCAAAAGGAGAGGAGAGUGAACAUAAGAUGGAAUAUACGGUAAGACGUAAUAGUGAAUUAAUAAUGAAUAAUAUAAAGUUUAAAAUUCAGAAAAUAAACAUUCCUCUAAAACACAAUCAAAAGACUCACAGCUCAUCACCAUAAUGUAAACCCAUCAUGUUAGUUAUCCCACUACUGGGUGUCUUUCUCAAACCAUUUCUACACAAGGAUCCAUCAGUGACAUAGCUCUAUGUCAUCUGAGGCCAGUAUACACACCCACAGUGACCACCUUGUGUCAUACAAUGAUCCUGUUCAGACACAUUCUAGUGAUGUCCAUUUGCCCCUGUGAUUUGCAUGUGGACCUUGUUCUUUUGGAGGUGUUGUAAUCUAAACCAUGUACUUCCUGAAGUACUGCCUUUUGAUGUAUCUAACUGCACGUUUUACAACUUUUUUUUACUGAGUUCAUGCUUACACCUUGAAUGUUAUCUUGAUUACAUUGUUCUUUGUUUUCCUAAUCUUGGCUAGUGCCUUUAUCCCUUGCACUUCUGUCAUCCUGACCUUGGACAUAUUAGGCUGCCUGCAGACAUUCUGUUUUCUUCCAGAUGGGAGUUUAAUUAAGUCCAGCCAUUCUUCUGAAAUACAAUAUAAAACAUCAUCAUUUUCCUGGCUGUCUUUUCUAUCCUUCCAUGCAGAUUUUGACCUACAAACUGUAAGUGAUUGUACUAGUAUUUAUGAGAAAACCUGAAGAUCUCUUAUCUUUGUUACGGGUAUCACAAUGCACAGUGCAAGAUACAAUAGAAAGAUAAACACUUCUGAGUAGGACACAUAAUAGAGAAGAAUAGAUAUUAAUAAUCUUUCUGAACUACUACUUUAUGCAGAUAUUUUGUGCUACCCAAUCUGGGAUAAUGAUUGGUUGUAUUAAGGCUCUUGGUCGGGUCUCAUUGUUAAAAUCAAAUGAUCAUCUUUAAGAUUCUUCAGAUGCUGCUUCCUUUAUUUUCUGAUGCAGAAAACAGCUAACAGUGGAAGAGGAACUGAUUUAUUUCUCAUUUCUUUACCUUUUUCAGUCUCUUUAUUACAGACAGGAGCACCCCGGCUAUUCAACAAUAACAGAAGAUGGAAUGAAGCUAUCAAACUGUACUCAGUAAAAUGAGUAUAAAAUUUACAUCAAUGGCUGUGAAGGGAUUCAAUUUGCAACAAGAAUGAAAAAUGAUUAGGGAAAAAACAAUAAAAAAUAAUUCAAUUGUUAUCAACAUGCAGG